GCCAAUGACCAAAGCACCCUGAAUGCUCCCGAUCUAGUCAGUUCUCAUAAGCUAACAGAGUUGAGCCUGGUUAGUACUCAGUUGUAGACUGCCUAGGAAUCCCAGGUAUUGUAGGCU
rnacentral:rRNA from 1 species